rnacentral:rRNA from 1 species
UACGGGGGGAGCAAGCGUUGUUCGGAUUUACUGGGCGUAAAGGGCGCGUAGGCGGCCACCGCAAGUCAGUUGUGAAAUCUCUGGGCUUAACCCGGAAAGGUCAGCCGAUACUGCGGGGCUAGAGUGCAGAAGGGGCAACUGGAAUUCUCGGUGUAGCGGUGAAAUGCGUAGAUAUCGAGAGGAACACCUGCGGCGAAGGCGGGUUGCUGGGCUGACACUGACGCUGAGGCGCGAAAGCUAGGGGAGCGAACGGG